UACGUAGGGUGCGAGCGUUAAUCGGAAUUACUGGGCGUAAAGCGUGCGUAGGCGGUUCGUUAAGUUCGUUGUGAAAGCGCCGGGCUCAACUCGGCGAGGUCGGGCGAUACUGGCGGGCUCGAGGCUGGUAGAGGGCGGUGGAAUUCCGGGUGUAGUGGUGGAAUGCGUAGAGCUCCGGAGGAACACCAGUGGCGAAGGCGGCCGCCUGGGCCAGUCCUGACGCUGAGCCGCGAAAGCGUGGGGAGCGAUCCGG
rnacentral:rRNA from 1 species